ACACGACUACAUUAGAUACCCGGGUAGUCCCAGCCCUAAACGAUGCGCGUUAGGUGUAUCGGUGACCACGAGUCACCGAGGUGCCGAAAGGGAAACCGUGAAACGUGCCGCCUGGGAAGUACGGUCGCAAGGCUGAAACUUAAAGGAAUUGCGGGGGAGCACCACAACGGGUGGAGCCUGCGGUUUAAUUGGACUCAACGCCGGGAAGCUCACCGGAUAAGACAGCGGAAUGAUUGCCGGGCUGAAGACCCUGCAUGACCAGCUG
rnacentral:rRNA from 1 species